rnacentral:rRNA from 1 species
GGAUGAACGUUAGCGGGAGGCUUACACAUGCAAGUCGAGGGGUAAGGUCUCUUCGGAGAAUACACGACCGGCGCACGGGUGAGUAACGCGUAUGCAACCUACCUAUAACACAAGGAUAGCUCCCGGAAACGGGAAUUAAUACUUGAUGACAUUCAAAGAUGGCAUCAUCAAUGAAUCAAAGUUCCGGCGGUUAUAGAUGGGCAUGCGUGACAUUAGCUAGUUGGUGAGGUAGAGGCUCACCAAGGCGACGAUGUCUAGGGGGUCUGAGAGGAUGAUCCCCCACACUGGUACUGAGACACGGACCAGACUCCUACGGGAGGCAGCAGUGAGGAAUAUUGCGCAAUGGAGGAAACUCUGACGCAGCCAUCCCGCGUGCAGGAUUGACGGCCCUAUGGGUUGUAAACUGCUUUUCUAUACCAAGAAACACCGAUACGUGUAUCGGUUUGCCGGUAGUAUAGGAAUAAGCAUCGGCUAACUCCGUGCCAGCAGCCGCGGUAAUACGGAGGAUGCAAGCGUUAUCCGGAAUCACUGGGUUUAAAGGGUGCGCAGGCGGAAUAGUAAGUCAGAGGUGAAAGCCCACAGCUCAACUGUGGAAUUGCCUUUGAUACUGUUAUUCUUGAGUGUAGUUGAAGUAGGCGGAAUAUAGCAUGUAGCGGUGAAAUGCAUAGAUAUGCUAUAGAACACCAAUUGCGAAGGCAGCUUGCUAAACUAUAACUGACGCUGAGGCACGAAAGCGUGGGGAGCGAACAGGAUUAGAUACCCUGGUAGUCCAUGCCGUAAACUAUGAACACUCGCUGUUGGCAAUACACAGUCAGCGGCUGAGCGAAAGCGUUAAGUGUUCCACCUGGGAAGUACGAUCGCAAGGUUGAAACUCAAAGGAAUUGACGGGGGCCCGCACAAGCGGAGGAGCAUGUGGUUUAAUUCGAUGAUACGCGAGGAACCUUACCUGGGCUUAAAUGUAUAUUGACGUACUGAGAAAUCAGUAUUUCUUCGGACAAUUUACAAGGUGCUGCAUGGUUGUCGUCAGCUCGUGCCGUGAGGUGUCGGGUUAAGUCCCAUAACGAGCGCAACCCCUACUUCUAGUUACCAGCAUUUCGGAUGGGGACUCUAGAGGAACUGCCUACGCAAGUAGAGAGGAAGGUGGGGAUGACGUCA